AAAAAGGCUCUUUUAAGUGCCACUUAAAAAAAAAAAGUUCUGUUUAU
rfam:Rattus norvegicus chromosome 13, whole genome shotgun sequence.